rnacentral:rRNA from 1 species
UACAGAGGUCCCGAGCGUUUGUUCGGAUUCACUGGGCGUAAAGGGUGCGUAGGUGGCUUUGCAAGUCUGAUGUGAAAUCUCCGGGCUUAACCCGGAAAUGGCAUUAGAAACUGUGAGGCUUGAGGCUUGGAGGGGGAACUGGAAUUCUCGGUGUAGCAGUGAAAUGCGUAGAGAUCGAGAGGAACACCAGUGGCGAAGGCGAGUUCCUGGACAAGUCCUGACACUGAGGCACGAAAGCCAGGGGAGCAAACGGG